rnacentral:rRNA from 1 species
CUGGAUGGUAGUGUAUUGGACUACCAUGGCGUUUACGGGUAACGGAGGAUUAGGGUUCGAUUCCGGAGAGGGAGCCUGAGAAACGGCUACCACAUCUAAGGAUGGCAGCAGGCGCGUAAAUUACCCAAUCCUGAUUCAGGGAGGUAGUGACAAGAAAUAACGGACCGGGUCGCAAGACUUCGGGAUUGCAAUGAGCCGAAUUUACACCCCUUAGCGAGAAUCGAUUGGAGGGCAAGUCUGGUGCCAGCAGCCGCGGUAAUUCCAGCUCCAAUAGCGUAUAUUAAAGUUGUUGCAGUUAAAAAGCUCGUAGUUGGAUUUCUGGAAGGGUGCUAAUGUCCGCCGUAGUGCGUGUGCAGCCGCGCCCUUCCAUCCUUCUGUUAACGUCUCUUGGCAUUUAUUUGCUGGUGGCGGGCUCAGAUAUUUUACCUUGAGAAAAUUAGAGUGUUUCAGGCAGGCUAGGCCGGAAUAUAUUAGCAUGGAAUAAUGGAAUAGGACUAUGGUCUCUUUGUUGGUUUGAGGGACUGCAGUAAUGAUUAAUAGGGAUAGUUGGGGGCAUUAGUAUUUAAUUGUCAGAGGUGGAAUUCUCAGAUUUGUUAAAGACUAACUUAUGCGAAAGCAUUUGCCAAGGAUGUUUUCAUUAAUCAAGAACGAAAGUUAGGGGAUCAAAGACGAUCAGAUACCGUC